UACAGAGGGGGCAAGCGUUGUUCGGAAUUACUGGGCGUAAAGGGCGCGUAGGCGGCCUGCUAAGUCGAACGUGAAAUCCCUGGGCUCAACCCAGGAACUGCGUCCGAUACUGGUUGGCUUGAAUCCGGGAGAGGGAUGUAGAAUUCCAGGUGUAGCGGUGAAAUGCGUAGAUAUCUGGAGGAAUACCGGUGGCGAAGGCGGCAUCCUGGACCAUUACUGACGCUGAGGCGCGAAAGCCAGGGGAGCAAACGGG
rnacentral:rRNA from 1 species